rnacentral:rRNA from 1 species
GGUCCCAAGGGUAUGGCUGUUCGCCAUUUAAAGUGGUACGUGAGCUGGGUUUAGAACGUCGUGAGACAGUUUGGUCCCUAUCUACCGUGGGCGUUGGACAUUUGAGAGGGGCUGCUCCUAGUACGAGAGGACCGGGGUGGACGUCGCUCUGGUGUACCGGUUGUGACGCCAGUCGCAUUGCCGGGUAGCUAACGACGGAAGAGAUAACCGCUGAAAGCAUCUAAGCGGGAAACUUGCCUCAAGAUAAGAUGUCCCGAGACUUUAAGUCUCCUGAAGGGUCGUUGCAGACUACAACGUUGAUAGGCUGGGUGUGGAAGCGUGGCAACACGUUAAGCUAACCAGUACUAAUUGCCCGUGCGGCUUGAUUCUAUAGCUUUG